rnacentral:lncRNA from 1 species
AUUGAAGAUACCUGCCUGGGGGAAUUUCCUAUGAAUUGAGAGCAGACAAGCUUCCCACCCAGUUACAAAGUUUGCUUAUCGCAUCAAUUGAUAAACCACACUUUGAUCUCUGGAGACUGUUCCAUUGACAAUUGGAAUAAGUAGACAUAAAAUUUCAUUAGUCAACCUCAAGCUUUAGGAUUGGAAGCUCGAUGAACAUCUGUCAUAAAAUAGUCAUCUGGGAGAGGUAAUUGUUGUAUGAGCUAUUGAAGGCAAGUGUAAUCACCAACAGAACUGAGGUUGAAGCAAAGAAAAAGACAGAGAACAAUAAGGAGAUGAAGAGAAAUGGAUUUGGAGGAGCACAGAGAAAAAAUGUAUCAAAAUGUAUGACCUACUUCAGAAAUAAAAACAAGCAUUAUCAAGGCAUUGAGAAAUUGACUAUACAGACCCUAGCCAGACAAUACAUAAAUACAGAACUUUGGCCCACAAUCUACAGCAAGCUACCCAGGAAACCAACCCCUUAUCUACAAUAAGCAACCAGGGAGCCAGACUGCUAUAAAUCAGACUUGCAG